GUGAAGAACGUAGCGAAAUGCGAUAAGUAGUGUGAAUUGCAGAAUUCAGUGAAUCAUCGAAUCUUUGAACGCACAUUGCGCCCCUUGGUAUUCCAUGGGGCAUGCCUGUUCGAGCGUCAUUUGUACCUUCAAGCUUUGCUUGGUGUUGGGUGUUUGUCUCGCCUUUGCGUGUAGACUCGCCUUAAAAUAAUUGGCAGCCGGCGUAUUGAUUUCGGAGCGCAGUACAUCUCGCGCUUUGCACUCAUAACGACAGCGUCCAAAAGUACAUUUUACACUCUUGACCUCGGAUCAGGUAGGGAUACCCGCUGAACUUAAGCAUAUCAAUAAGCGGAGGA
rnacentral:misc_RNA from 1 species